rnacentral:rRNA from 1 species
UACGUAGGGGGCAAGCGUUGUCCGGAAUCAUUGGGCGUAAAGCGCGUGUAGGCGGCUCGGUAAGUCUGCUGUGAAAGUCCAGGGCUCAACCCUGGGAUGCCGGUGGAUACUGUCGAGCUCGAGUCCGGAAGAGGCGAGUGGAAUUCCUGGUGUAGCGGUGAAAUGCGCAGAUAUCGAGAGGAACACCUGCGGCGAAGGCGGGUUGCUGGGCUGACACUGACGCUGAGGCGCGAAAGCUAGGGGAGCGAACGGG